AAAGAGGGAGAGAAGAAAAGAGCCAGAAGGGGGCAUACUGCUCUCUCUUUACUCUGGUCUUUUGGUGAAUGAGGACUUUUCACAAUGCCCUCUCCUUUUUCUUUAUUUUUUUUUUCAUUCUUCCAUUGGCAAAAAAAAGAGAGAAAAAAGAAAAAACAGCAUUUCCCAUUGCGUUUCGCCAAAUUGUUUUUGCCAUAUCAAAAACAAUUAUCCUCAGGUGAGGAAUGCGCCUGCAGAAUUACAACCAUUCCAGGGAGAGAAAGAGGUCUUCACAAAUCUGACUGGCUUCCAGGCAGCCAAGACCCCCUCGAAGUGGUAAUGAAAAGUGUAACUUUAGCCUCCCAGCUGUACGUCUCAAUCCAUAAUCCUUCCCCAAAAACCUCACCGUAGAGCCGCCUACCACUCCCAUGGCGCUCCCAGCCUGUGCCGGGCUGGGCCUGCACUGAUUUAUGUGGCAGUCCCGUGUCAUACUCUCAACCUGAAAAGGAUUUGCUCUCCUAUAUUUACCAGGGUGGUCAGGGCAGCUCUCUGGAAACACAGAAAGCCCAGUUACCGGGCCUCACUCCCAGACAUUCUUUUUACCCCUCUGUGCCCAUUACGUGGACAUUUUGGACCUUACCAGAAUCAGACGAAGCUUCAGUGUUUCCAUAGUGGUGUGUUUCACCAGUGCAGAGGUCAGAGUCCACGCACCCGCAGCCCACGCCGCCACAUAGCUGCAUUUUUGGUAUGCAGAUGCACAGACACAGGGUCCGGUUCAGCUCCUCAUGUCCAUCCGUCUGUGACAUGGAAAAGAUGCCCAGCAAAUAGACUCAUCUCUGCCUCCCAUCUAG